CGCGGUAAUCAGGCCUAACACAUGCAAGUCGAACGGUAACAGGAAGCAGCUUGCUGCUUCGCUGACGAGUGGCGGACGGGUGAGUAAUGUCUGGGAAACUGCCUGAUGGAGGGGGAUAACUACUGGAAACGGUAGCUAAUACCGCAUAACGUCGCAAGACCAAAGUGGGGGACCUUCGGGCCUCAUGCCAUCAGAUGUGCCCAGAUGGGAUUAGCUUGUUGGUGAGGUAACGGCUCACCAAGGCGACGAUCCCUAGCUGGUCUGAGAGGAUGACCAGCCACACUGGAACUGAGACACGGUCCAGACUCCUACGGGAGGCAGCAGUGGGGAAUAUUGCACAAUGGGCGCA
rnacentral:rRNA from 1 species